CGGGGCGUAGCGCAGUCUGGUAGCGCAUCUGCCUGGGGGGCAGAGGGUCGUCGGUUCGAAUCCGGCCGCCCCGACCA
rnacentral:tRNA from 2 species